rnacentral:sRNA from 1 species
UCAAGUCCGUGUUCUGGGAACUAACAGGAGGGUUCAGCUUAAAUAGAGGGCAAGGGUUAUACAGAAUUAUACAAGCCUGGUCAAGGUGUAGUCCUGCCUGUUACUGAUCUGACUUUGUCUCCGGUUCCAGUUUGCCCUCCAAGAUGGUCUGACGGGUUGUGAGAGAUCCUGCAUGUCCCUUCGGGAGCCUGACAAGGCAGAUCCUCCCAGCAAGAAGCCGCCCUGUGCCACUUCUACCCUGUUAUGCCCCAGGUGCAUCGCUCUCCCCUUGCUGUGCAAAAUGCCUGCCAGAAGUAAGGUAAGAAAGAAUUUGUUAACUUGGUUUCCACUGCAUUUAUUACUACUGUAAAAAUGUUUUUUAAAACCCUUUUUCUCGGUUUCCGCCAGCACUCGUCUCUCCCACUUGUCCACACAAUUCCUUGCUGAUUUCCUCAGGAACAGCACAAAAGCCCAGCCUGUUAACUACAUUCUUCACAGGAAACAACCCAUGCCAGGAAAGGGACGGGGAGGGACAGAGGAGGAGGCUACUACCGGGUUCCAUAGCAGGCCAACGGGAAAUUCACAGCACUCAAAUGCAAAACCAGUAGCCUCACCAGUCUAACAAAAAUGGUCUGGGAAGACCUGGAGAAGGUGGCCUUCCCUCCUUGCAAAACAUCAUUGACCUGUGCCAAACCCAGAGCAGUGACUACCAGGAAGAAGAGAGGACUAAG